UACGGGGGGGGCAAGCGUUGUUCGGAAUUACUGGGCGUAAAGGGCGCGUAGGCGGCUCGGCACGUCCGUUGUGAAAUCGCCCGGCUCAACUGGGCGGGGUCGGCGGAUACGGCCGAGCUGGAGCAAGCUAGGGGGUAAUGGAAUUCCCGGUGUAGUGGUGGAAUGCGUGGAUAUCGGGAGGAACACCAGUGGCGAAGGCGGUUACCUGGAGCUUUGCUGACGCUGAUGCGCGAAAGCGUGGGGAGCGAUCCGG
rnacentral:rRNA from 1 species